UAAAAACCCCGACUUCGGAAGGGGUGUAUUUAUUAGAUACAAAACCAAUGCCCUUCGGGGCUCUUUGGUGAUUCAUGAUAACUAUACGAAUCGCACGGCCUUGCGCCGGCGAUGGUUCAUUCAAAUUUCUUCCCUAUCAACUUUCGAUGUUUGGGUAUUGGCCAAACAUGGUUGCAACGGGUAACGGAGGGUUAGGGCUCGACCCCGGAGAAGGAGCCUGAGAAACGGCUACUACAUCCAAGGAAGGCAGCAGGCGCGCAAAUUACCCAAUCCCGACUCGGGGAGGUAGUGACAAUAAAUACUGAUACAGGGCCCUUUCGGGCCUUGUAAUUGGAAUGAGUACAAUUUAAAUCCCUUAACGAGGAACAAUUGGAGGGCAAGUCUGGUGCCAGCAGCCGCGGUAAUUCCAGCUCCAAUAGCGUAUAUUAAAGUUGUUGUGGUUAAAAAGCUCGUAGUUGAACCUUGGGCCUGGCUGGCCGGUCCGCCUCACCGCGUGCACUGGUCCGGCCGGGCCUUUCCCUCUGUGGAACCCCAUACCCUUCACUGGGCGUGGCGGGGAAACAGGACAUCUACUUU
rnacentral:rRNA from 1 species